GACGAACGCUGGCGGCGUGCUUAACACAUGCAAGUCGAACGGAGUGGCGAACGGGUGAGUAACACGUGGGUGAUCCGCCUUGCACUUCGGGAUAAGCUUGGGAAACUGGGUCUAAUACCGGAUAGCGCAAGAUGAGCUCGCGGCCUAUCAGCUUGUUGGUGGGGUAAUGGCCUACCAAGGGGUCGACCGGUAGCCGGCCUGAGAGGGUGUACGGCCAAAUUGGGACUGGGAUACGGCACAGACUACGACGGGGAGCAGCAGUGAGGAAUAUUGCACAAUGGGCGGAAGCCUGAUGCAGGAACGCCGCGUGGGGGAUGAAGGCCUUCGGGUUGUAAACUCCUUUCGACAGGGACGCGGUACCUGUAUAAGAAGCACCGGCUAACUACGUGCCAGAAGCCGCGGUAAUAC
rnacentral:rRNA from 1 species